CGGCGAACGGGUGAGUAACACGUGAGCAACCUGCCCCGAAGACUGGGAUAACACCGGGAAACCGGUGCUAAUACCGGAUGUCCUUCUCUGGUCGCAUGGCCUAAGAAGGAAAGGAAUUUUGCUUCGGGAGGGGCUCGCGGGCUAUCAGCUUGUUGGUGAGGUAACGGCUCACCAAGGCGACGACGGCUAGCUGGUCUGAGAGGACGACCCGCCACACUGGGACUGAGACACGGCCCAG
rnacentral:rRNA from 1 species